UAGUUUCUUCCUGUUCUUUGUUUCUGGACUUGUCUUCUUAAGCUAAACUUGUUGUUUACAAAUCAUGUUGUUAGUGUGAUUGUUUUCUUUUCAUGUGCGCCAUGCUAAAGCUAUGCAGCGCAGCUUCGCAUCCGCGAUCAAGAAGCAAGUAUAGCCUGAACACAACUGUGUAUUCCAUCGUUGGGGUCAUGUUCUUAUUGUUUCUACAUGUUUGAAACAGCAAGUGAGAAAAGAAGGACGAAAUAGAAAAGGAAAAAUGCCAUAUAAACGCCAUAUAUAGAUUUAAACGGACCCAUAGUUGCUAACGAGAAAGAAAUCACUUAAACUGCUGGGAAGGCAACUCCAGCUCUUCAACUAUCUUGUUGGACGCGACUACGUGUCACAAGGUAAAUAUUGCAAGCAGCUAUUUCACCUAACGCGGCAUAGUAAAACAUUUUGUAUUUUUAAACGUUUUUUGUUCGGCUAAUGAUCUAUACCUUAACUCUUACCUUUUUUUUUUUGAAUGGCACGCGGCCUAAUGUGAAAAUGCACACAAAGCAUGCCAGUCUAUUUGAUAGAAUACUGCAACAGCGAAUUACUGAGAAUGUGAUGUUCCACCUUUCUCCCUUUUUCUUUGCCGGAACGCCAGUCCAUUAACAACAUCUUCAGGGCACAGUACGCUGUAUAGCACAAGAAGUUCAACGCCCAGAAGGCUGUUCGUUAAGAUUUUCUAGGUAUUCAUAUUUGGCCAAAGACGCUGCACGUGCAAUUGAGAGAUGGACCGAAGAGGAGGAAGCAGGAGCUGGCCGCGUUCGAGCGCGUUGCCACGCGAACAUGCUCGAACACUAGACGUUCGAGAAACGCAUGAGCUAAAAUCGCGUUUCCACGCGCAGUCGUUCGGAAGGCACACCGAGACAACCCUGUAGGCAACGUCGCUGCCCCGAGGCGGCCAUCUCAGGCCGCCUCAACGGUGGUGUGCUGGCUUUAGUGGUUCCUUAGUGGUUCCUGGUGGCAAGCUACCACAGGAUGACCCCGGUACUUCGCUCAAGGCGGCCCCGUUUCGGUAGUGCAACCGGCUGUCUCGCGGUUUCUCCCUCCACCAGGCAAGGCAGGUCCUGCAGCACUUCAUCUGCGACGGGGAGAGGUUCUGGUUCAUCGGCGUUCCAUCGGCGACAAGUAUUAAGUGGCCAGGUGGCAGUCCUCAGCAAAGACAGCAGAUACCAAGCGGGAGCUCACAAUGUGACGAUCGCCCAGUUGCAUCUCCGAACUUCAGCAGACUUCCCAGUGCGGGUAGCUGGAGGCGCAAUAGGGAAUAGCACGUCAGUCCCUGACCCCGCCGGAAGACCAUGGCGUCGUUCACGAUCGCCGUGAAACUGCAGCCGAGCAACACAUCAGCCCUUGGCACACCAGCGAGACAUCGAGAGAUGCCAUCUGCCUAGAGGAGCUGACUCGGCCACCGGGUGUUCCAUGGCUGUGUUCGCGCAUGCGCCCGACGUCUCCUUUACCGCGGAGGGCCACGCAGAGAAGCCACCGAGUCCAGCCAAGGUACAAGGGCGAGGCCAGCCGGUCGUCGCCCACGAAAGCCACAGUGGAGAGCGCACAGGCUUCAGUGGCCACGGGGCUCCACGCCGUGAAUUCGACCAUGCAUCAGGAGUGCUUAGGCCACGCUGUCAUCAGUCCCUGCCUUGCCGCGAGAUUGUGUGUUUAAAGGGACGAACUGUAGGACGCAGUUCUUCACAUCCUUGCUUUGUUGGCGGCAUAUUCAUGCGUGACUUGUGCGUUUAUCUCCUGAACCGACCAUAUCUCGCGCCAAUUUUUGAUUGUAGUAUAUUUAUGCACGCAUAUUCAUUUCGCCGGGUACUUAUUUCUUGAUUUUUGCGUAAAUUUUUUCGUUGAUAUUGCUUGUUUUAAUUUUUGUGUUGUAAUUGAUUCGUUAUAAAGAGUUCCGGUAGGUUUUCUUAAUAGUUCCGGAAGGUUUGCCGACAACCAUCAAGAAAGGCCAGAUAUAGCUGGAGAUUUAUCAGUAGCGACUUCUGAUCGCGCCUAUUUCGGAAUCUAGACAAUUUAAGCGUACAUAUUAAUUUUGUACGCUAUGUAUCUAUCAAUUUAUGCGUUACUAAUUCUGUUAUUAUUUAUCGUUUUGAAUUUCUGCGUAUAAUUGAUUUAUUUGACUGGAAGGUUUGCGAAAGAGUUCCGGUAGGCUUGCCUAAAAGUUCAGGAACGUUUGCUAUCAUGUUAUUUCACCUCGCGACCUUCCAAACAACCAUGAACAAAAGCCACACACUGCUUCAGAUUUAUCAGUAGCAACUAUGGUUCGCGCCUAUUCCGUAAUAUAGUCUAUUUAGGUGCACAUAUUCACUUUGUCGGCAACGUAUCUAUCGAUUUAUGCGUUAAUAUUUUCAUUAAUAUUUAUCGUUUGAAUUUCUACCUUAUAAUUUAAUGGUUUCCGAGAGUUUCCGAUGGUUUGCCAUUAUUUGCUUUCUGCUAGCGAUCUUCCAAACAACCAUUAACAAAAGCCAAAUGCCUCAAAAGGAUAUUGCAUUAGAUCAAUCUCUUAUAAGCGCGCACAUUGCGAACCGCAGCCGAUUCGUACGAAGCUAUUGUGUUGCGUUCUCCCCCUUAAAACGAUCGUUCGCAUCUACUCUAAAUUGUACCGUAAUUUCUGAUGUAUACUGUUGCUAUAUGUACAGUUGAAUGUAAGGGUUAAUAUAGUUAUUUAUUAUAAUUUACAAUUCUGAGUUAUAAUUGCAAGGAGAUCUGGAAGGUUUGGUUGCUGGGGACAACUGACAUUUUGAGAUAGCGACUUUCGAAACAAAUAUUAACAAACGUUAGACGGUCCCUUACAAAGAGCCUUCGUGUAGGUUCAUUGUAUGUCAAUGAAAUGAUCCGGCCUCCUCUGAUUUGAAUUCAUGCGCAUGUUUGCGUACAUGACUUUUCAGACGUAUUUGUGGACAAGAACUUUCUGUGCGACAAUGUUGUUGUGCACACAUGGACUUGCGGGCACCUCAUUUUACAGUCGGUGCAAAACUUCGUGUGAUAAGGAAAUGCGAUUUUUCUUUUUGCCAAGAAGGGCGCGUAUAUAAGGAAACCAGGCUGCAGUGGUUCGUGGUAUUACCGGGACACCUUCGUAUGGAAGAAGAUUUCGCCUAUUGGUCAUAGGGUGUCGAACUGAAAAGCAAAUGCAGCAAUCAGCGUCACUUGGUGUAAAAUUUUGAAACUGAGCUCUAGUACACCUGUUAAUAAAGCUAUUCAAGAGAG